rnacentral:rRNA from 1 species
GACGAACGCUGGCGGCGUGCUUAACACAUGCAAGUCGAACGGUGAAAGCGGAGCUUGCUCCGCUGGAUCAGUGGCGAACGGGUGAGUAACACGUGGGCAACCUGCCCCUCACUUCGGGAUAACUCCGGGAAACCGGGGCUAAUACCGGAUAUGACCUCCUUGGGCAUCCUUGGAGGUGGAAAGUUUUUCGGUGAGGGAUGGGCCCGCGGCCUAUCAGCAUGUUGGUGAGGUAGUGGCUCACCAAGGCGACGACGGGUAGCCGGCCUGAGAGGGCGACCGGCCACACUGGGACUGAGACACGGCCCAGACUCCUACGGGAGGCAGCAGUGGGGAAUAUUGCGAAAUGGGCGAAAGCCGGACGCAGCAACGCCGCGGGCGGGAUGACGGCCUUCGGGUUGUAAAGCUCUUUUGUCAGGGAAGAAACACCGGCUCUAACACAGUCCGGGAAUGACGGUACCUGAAGAAUAAGCACCGGCUAAC